rnacentral:lncRNA from 1 species
AAACUUCAUUGUAGCAGAUAUCCAAUUCCUGCCAUAGAAUCAUAAUCUCAUUGUAGUAUUCAGUAACUUUACAGCUUCCUUGUUUUGAGUGCCACAACUUUGAUUUUAACUCAAAGAUUUGAGAAUAAUUCUCAACAUCUAAAUAUGUACGUUGAACUGCAUCCCAUACGUCCUUGAUUGUUGGCAAAUAUUGAUAUGGUUUCCCUAUUCCAGGUUCCAUCGAAUUAAUCAACCAUGCAAUAAUCAUAGGGUUCUGAGAUCUCCAUACGUUCGCUCUUGGAUCAUUUGCAGCUGGUUAUUUUUCCUCACCAUUCAAGAAGCCAAGCUUACCUUUUCCAUCAAUCACAAGUUUCAUGGAUUGUGCCUAUUCGUAAUAGUUCUUUCUAUUAAAUUUGUGAACUGAUAUUUGUAAUGACUGGAAUUGAUCUGAAUUAGAGAUAUCAAUUGCUUGAUUAGAAUCCACCUCUUCUGUUGCAUCUCUGGAAGAUGAGCUCCUCACAGCUCCUAUCAUGAUUGUCUUCACCAUAAUUAAAUCUGUUAUUUUUUUCAAAGAUUUU